rnacentral:rRNA from 1 species
GGCAGCAUGGUCUUAGCUUGCUAAGGCCGAUGGCGACCGGCGCACGGGUGAGUAACACGUAUCCAACCUGCCGUCUACUCUUGAACAGCCUUCUGAAAGGAAGAUUAAUACAAGAUGGCAUCAUGAGUCCGCAUGUUCACAUGAUUAAAGGUAUUCCGGUAGACGAUGGGGAUGCGUUCCAUUAGAUAGUAGGCGGGGUAACGGCCCACCUAGUCUUCGAUGGAUAGGGGUUCUGAGAGGAAGGUCCCCCACAUUGGAACUGAGACACGGUCCAAACUCCUACGGGAGGCAGCAGUGAGGAAUAUUGGUCAAUGGGCGAGAGCCUGAACCAGCCAAGUAGCGUGAAGGAUGACUGCCCUAUGGGUUGUAAACUUCUUUUAUAAAGGAAUAAAGUCGGGUAUGGAUACCCGUUUGCAUGUACUUUAUGAAUAAGGAUCGGCUAACUCCGUGCCAGCAGCCGCGGUAAUACGGAGGAUCCGAGCGUUAUCCGGAUUUAUUGGGUUUAAAGGGAGCGUAGAUGGAUGUUUAAGUCAGUUGUGAAAGUUUGCGGCUCAACCGUAAAAUUGCAGUUGAUACUGGAUAUCUUGAGUGCAGUUGAGGCAGGCGGAAUUCGUGGUGUAGCGGUGAAAUGCUUAGAUAUCACGAAGACUCCGAUUGCGAAGGCAGCCUGCUAAGCUGCAACUGA